GCUGUAUAGCAUGGGGAUCAAGUUAUUCUUACAUGUAUACAUUUUUUCCCCCACACUUUGUUCUUUUGCAAUAUGAGUAUCUAGACAUAGUUCUCAAUGCUACUCAGCAGGAUCUCCUUGUAAAUCUAUUCUAAGUUGUAUCUGAUAACCCCAAGCUCCCAAUCCCUCCCACUCCCUCCCUUUCCCAUCCAGCAGCCACAAGUCUAUUCUCCAAGUCCAUGAUUUUCCUUACCCCCUGCUAGGAGCUACCUUAGCAAAAGUAUAGGCCAUUCCUUUGGUGGAAAAGCAAAGGAAACUUCUGUGGACAUCACCAACUGACAAGGAGAAACCCUAGCUAUUUCAGCAGCUGUCCAGAAUUUUCCAGGCAUUCAUUCCUUUGAUUUAGACCAAAUAAAAUACAAGAGAUGGGAGAGAGUUCAGAUAAGUGCCCGAAUGUAUGCAGUAGACACUUCUGAGGUAUAAACUCCCAUACGGCUUCUCCAUAGUCGUUUUAGGACCUAACAACCAAAUCCAUUUCCUUUGUUGCAGUUCCACAAUGCAUCACAUUGGACUUGUUCUUUUCUUUUUCUGCCUCCCUGAUAUUAUUCCCUCACUCUUGCUUCCCUAAGAUUGUACCUCCCAAUAAACCAUUAGCAAUUAUUUUUUGUUUUCUGAGGAAUCUAUGCAAAAAGACUACAAAAUAAUAAACAUUUGCUUUGGUCAAUCUUUUAAAAUUAUCUGACAUUUUUUCCUAAUAUUUAAUGUCUCUGUUUUAAUCACUAAAUCAAGGGUAAUUUUAGUUUUUAUGUAAUUCAUUUAUAAAUGUGUGUCCUGAAGACACCAUCAAGACAUCAACAUCAUAGUUUAUCAAUGUAAGUAUAUAUUUUUAAUCAUUAAUAAUUAUGUUUCCAAGCUGACUUAAUAUCCUUAACAAGGAAGUUGGUUGGAGGGUCAAGAAGAGGUUCUUCUGAAAUAAUCAGAAUCAAAUCAAGAUUGCAUUUGCAAGAGCUGAUGUCACUUCAUACUAUUUGGAUUUAUGUGCUUAAGGAUUGAGCUGGACAGUUCUCUUUUUUAUGUUGUAUUGGGCUGUUCUUUAAAUUACAGAAUUAAAUGCUCCAAGAUGAAAUCUUUUGAGUUACAGUGUCCCUGAAUCAAAUGCUGUAAAGAUGAAGCAGCUUCGCUGUUAUGUCUGUCAAAGCCUUCUAGCUAUGCUUCACAUUUGGUGCCUUUAUAUUUGUUCUUCUAUUUCUAUUUUGUUAAAUAAAAUGUUGGAACAUAUACCAAGAAACACAGAUUGUCCAUAGCAGCAUGAGACUUGGGCUGUGGUUGGAAAUAAUUUAAAUUAAACAUUACAUGAACACUGAAGAAGUUUCCAACUUCCCAAUUUAACUGUGUAUAAAUUAUACCCCCCAAAAAAUGUAAUAGAAGAAUAUUAUAUAAAGGAACCUAGGAAUCUAAAUAUAUAAUUGAUAUAUAUUUUCUAUUUUUAUAUAAAUUAUAUUUUAAAAAUAAAAUUAACUAUAUGCUCAUUUUUAACAAAAGAUUACCAAAUCCCGCCAGAAUAAAGUACUAAACAUAGAAAAGUAUCUAGAACAUAAAUCUUGCUUGAAAAAAAUUAUAAAUUACAUAUGUAAAAUAUAAAUUAUGCUUUUAAAGAGAAUUCUUACCCAAAACAUAUAUUCUAUGAUCAGCUAAAGGUCAUUCAAUGUUAAGGAUGUAAAUAAUCAUGCAAAUGUUUUUCCAAUUGGGCAACAAAAAGUGUUCAUUUUAUUCUACAAGUCUCCAAAAUACUGUGUUGCUUAUCAAGUUUUAAAAUAACUGCGACUGUGUCCACGUUUUGGCAGCCACAAACUAUGGCGUGACUAGAACUUUGCUCAUGUUGCUUUGGAUUCACAAGCUGUGUCUAAAUGCAGCCUCUGAAUUGGACUGCUGCAUGCAGAAUCUAGCCAAAUUGGUUGCAGAGAUCUUCAUCAAAUGUUAAGAGAGCCAAAAGAUCCAAUUAUUAAAGACAUUUUCAAUCUAUAGUCACAGACAUAGUCUAGGCCAAGGCCCAACAUAUGCCAAAGAGUGGCAGAAGACAUUUGGAGGAUGAUGUCACUCUUGAGAGUUGGUAACAGAUGACCCUGACUGGAGAGUCGUAGGAAGUAGAUUUUUUAAAAACCAGGCGUGACCUAAUCACAGACUGGAUUAUCAGAGAAGUUUCCUAAAAAAGAAAAAAAAAAAAAUCUCCAGCCUAAGUAUAAUCUGCUCUACAGGGGCAAGACACUAACAAAGAAAACAGUAGAUAUACCAAUAGGAAAAGGUAACGCAAAUGCCCAUAAAUUUGAGGACUUACACUAAAUGAGCAAACUUCUAUAAAACGUUAACUUACCAAAACAUAUACUCAAGAAGGUAGUAAAAACCUCAAUAGUACCAUAACUGUAAAGGACACUGAAGUAGAGUUUCUUCCCACAAAGAAAAAAACGGGCCCAGACUAUUUUAUAGGCAAUUUCUACAAAGCUUUCAGAGAACAAAUAAUUCCAAAAUCUUAUACAAAGAAUUCCAGAGUAUAGGCAAAAGCAGAGAAGAGAAAACAACUCAUUUUAUGUGAUUUUAUAAAAUCUUGUUACUAAAACUAAACAAGGACAGCAAGAAAAAGGAAGAUUACAGGCCAAUCUCCUUCAUGUACAUAGACUCAAAAAUCCCAAAUAAAGUAUUAAUAAACUUAAUUAAUCACUGUAUACAAAAUACACUCUCAUCAAUUCAGUUUCUAUUAAGAAUAAAAAGUUGAGACUGGGAACUAUAUCUAGUCACUUAUGGAGCAUGAUAGUGUGAGAAAAAAGAAUCUAUACAUGUAUGUGUUAACUGGGUCACUGUGCUAUACAGUAUAAAACUGACAGAACACUGUAAACCAGCUAUAAUGAAAAAAAUAAAAAUCAUUAUAUAAAAUAAAUUAAUUAAUUAAAAAAAUAAAAAGUUGAGACACAUGAUUUCAGCUCCAAGAUAUAAAGGAACUUAGGAGGUUGUCGCUUCCCUCUUUACAAGAAACAAAGGUGGACAGACUAAAAACAUACAUAUAUUUAUAUGUGUAUAUAUCAGAUAACUGAAGUUAUAAGAUAAAUUUCCACCCCCAAAUGUGGAAGGAGGCACAUCCAGAAAGAGGGAGUAACCAAGACAUACUUCAUUACAACAGAAACUGCUUGAGACAUAAACUGAUAGGAGCAAUUCAAUGGUUUGUUGUUUGUUUGUUUGUUUUGUCUUUUUAGGGCUAUACCCAUGGCAUGUGGAGGUUCCCAGGCUAGGAGUCAAAUUGGAGUUGUAGCCUCUGGCCUAUGCCACAACCACAGCAACUCGGGAUCAAAGCCAUGUCUGUGAGCUACACCAUAGAUCACGGCAAUGCCAGAUCCUUAACCCACUGAGUGUGGCCAGGGAUUAAACCUGCGUCCUCAUGGAUACUAGUCAGAUUUUUUUCUGCUGAGCCAUGACAGGAACUCCCAUUCAGUGGUAAUGUUGACUGAGGGCUGAGUGUUGGACUAAUAUGAGAGGAAGGAACUAUUGGAGCCACAGUCUUAGAAUGGCCCCUGAAGAUUUUCAUGGGCUUUCCCUCCAGGAACUCCAACAAAUUCUCACUUGAGGAUCUUAUAAUUAGAGAAAGAGUCCCUCGUACCUCUGGCAAUGGGA
rnacentral:lncRNA from 1 species